GCAUCGACACAUUUUUUUCUUCCAUUUAAACUUUGAAAUAUGCCUAGGCGUUGCGUCGCAGCUAAUUGUAGCCAAAAGGACAGGUAUCUGUUUGAAUUCCCGGAUCCGGAGAAACCGAAUUUAUCGGCAGAUGCGAAGAAGAAGACGACAAAACUGCGGCGUUCUUGGACGUUGUUCGUCAAGGCCAAACGUGAUAAAUGGCAGCCAUCCAAAUCCAGCGUGUUGUGCUCUAAGCAUUUUACCGAUGACUGCAUCCUGAAUUUGCAGCAAUAUAAUGCUGGGUUUUCUAGGAGAUUGAUGCGAAAAGAAGGUGCUGUGCCUACAAUCCAUCUGAUGCCACCAACACCUACCACUACCAGUACCGGUAACUGUGAAAGCACCCCACAGAGGCCUAGAAGUGCUUGGGCUAAGCGAGAGAAUCGUCGUCUUGUCUCUGAGGCCCAAGCAGAAGCAGCAGCUAGAGCUAUGGAGGUCGAAGAAGAAGAUGCAUGCUACAGCACACGACGGCAGAAUAAUUCUAUUGUUCUACCUACAUAUCCCCAACACCGAUGAACUAACUGUCUAUAUGUGAUGUGCCUGUACUUGGCAUUGGAGGGCCCAUUGAAGGCUUUGCUUCCAUACUGCUGUUUGUAGAACAGCCAGGCAGUUUGUAGAGACCAUGGGGCUGAUUCACAAAGCCUACUUAGGCCUUACGAUCUAUUAUCAAGUUUCCUUUUGAUGAAGCCGGCCAAGAUCACAUAAUAGGCUUCUACACACCCCAACAUCGAAUACCCAAUGUACUCGGCUGUGUGGAUGGAGUCUCGUUCAAAUAAAGUCACCUUCACAACAUGAAGAAGCAUACAUUUAUCGCAGAGGCUACCAUGCAUUGAACAUUCAAGGAGUGUGCUCAUCGCAUGACCUGAAAUUCACGAAUAUCGUUUCAUCCUGGCCCGGCAGUACCCACGACGCUUUUAUAUGGCGUAAUUGUGAACUGAACAGAAAGCUGGAAAACGGACUAAACCAUGGAGGCUACCUUCUCGGUGAUCGCGCAUAGCCCUUGAAGCCAUUGACUCCAGUUUGUAGACCCCAGGAUGAUGCCGAGCGCCGUUACAAUUCUUAUCAUCAACGAAUCUGGGUAAAAAUCGAAAUGUCCUUAGGACGGUGAAGGUCAAGGUGGAUGGCAGUUAGUAAGCUCGCGGGCCUACUUAAGCUUAAACCAGAGAAAUGCUGCAAGGUGGUCGUGGCUAUGACACUAUUGCAUAUGCCAGGAGCGUGGUGUACUUUUGCUGGAUGAUGUCGAAUUAAACAAUGAGGAUGAGAACAAUAACGAAGUGAACCCCUUGCCAGAAAACGACGACGAGGAGGAGCUUGGUGAAACGGUCAGAGCAGCGGUAAUCCCUGAACAUUUCUGGUAAAUUGAAAAAAAGUAAAUGCGAGCGAAUAAGGUUCAAAGAUUAUUAUUCAAACUUGCACUUGUUUAAGUUGAAACACCAUUCAGAUAAUUUUACAGGUGGCAAACAGAGGGUAAAUAGGGGCAACGUUUUAACUUUAGAAAAAAAGUCUCACUGGACUUUGACAGUAACAAUUACUGUAAAAUCGGCCCCGAGCCGUCCAUCCACUUGAUACGGGAUCUUGUUUACGAGUAUUGACUUGUUGGAGAAUUGCUGAGUUGGAAAGACUAGCUUAGCAGGAGAGAGGCUUCUUGUCUUUUAAACUUUUAUUUGAUAGAUGAUUGUAUAUGGUACAGUGGAGGUUGUUUCUAUGAAGUCAUCUGCCGGUCUCUCUCGAGGGAAGGAGACCCCUAGAUUUUUAAACAAUUCUUGUUGAUGUUACAAAUGUUCCCUAGACGACGGUGAUAUUCCACUCUGGUGGCACUGGUGCGAGUGACGUGGCCGGCCCACGAAACGGGCUUAAUUGAUAUAUGUCACGUCAUCUUGCAUCACUUGGUCAAGGUAUCAACAUCGCCUCCCUCGAUAAAAGUAUCUAAACCCGAUAACCACACGUACUACAAACAAUUCUGAGAGUAAAAUCACACACCUUAUUUAUCUGGCCAUUUCUGUCCCCUGUUGCUACAACAGUAUAAUAACAAUUUAGCUUACUUGCUUUCGUCAUAAUAAUUAGCCCCUAAACGUUAAAAUCCAUCAUUCGUUUUAAAGGUGAUUUAUAAAAUUUAAUUGUUAACAGCUUAAGGGGGGAAGAUACUCGAAAUUGACUUUUCCCUUAAAUUACUGAGUUCAGCCAUGAUACUUGCAGGGAUACUUAGCUGGGUCAAAGAAAAAAGGAUCACGUCAAAAAGGGUCCCAAAAUGGCCGCCGUUGCCAUGGAAACGGCGGCCAUCUUUGAUUUACACAUCAUUCUUGGUGCGAUUGUUACUCCUCAUCGUCAUCAUCAUAAUCAGGUUAAUAUCGUAGGACCUAGGGUCCUGUUGAUAUCUGUAAGUUUUACUCGCUGGUUUAUGGUUCUCGCGCUCAGCACAGGUGUGGUUUGUGGUGUAAAAAGUUACAAUAAAAGUUCUGCUUACUCGAUUCGCUGGUACUUAAGCCCUUAAGCUUUCAUCACGGUUUCCUUAAAAACACAAGCAUGUCUAUGUCCGAGAUAUUUGCCUAUAUACAAUUACAACUAAACUAGUCUCUAAUUAUCUCCGUUAUCCGAUCCACAGUCGAUAGAAUAUGUACAGUCAAAGUAAACUAAUAAGUCACAUACUUCCUGUCCACCCAGGCCUUAUCCAGCCUUGAUUUAAAAGUAUCCACAGUUUUCGCCUCCAAGACUGCCCCUGACAGUGCGUUCCACGGGGAAACAACCCUCUG